GUGCUCGCCUCAGCAGCGCAUCUACUAUAAAGAUGUAGAGAAGAUGAGUCUGGCCCCUGUGUAGGGAUAACACAAAUUUGUGGAGCAUUCCAUAUU
rnacentral:snRNA from 1 species